CCUACGGGAGGCAGCAGUGGGGAAUAUUGCGCAAUGGGCGAAAGCCUGACGCAGCGACGCCGCGUGAGGGAUGAAGGUCUUCGGAUUGUAAACCUCUUUCAGCAGGGACGAAGCGAAAGUGACGGUACCUGAAGAAGAAGCACCGGCUAACUACGUGCCAGCAGCCGCGGUAAUACGUAGGGUGCAAGCGUUGUCCGGAUUUAUUGGGCGUAAAGAGCUCGUAGGCGGUUAGACACGUCGGAUGUGAAAACUGGGGGCUCAACCCCCAGCCUGCAUUCGAUACGGUCUGACUAGAGUGUGGUAGGGGUAACUGGAAUUCCUGGUGUAGCGGUGAAAUGCGCAGAUAUCAGGAGGAACACCGAUGGCGAAGGCAGGUUACUGGGCCACCACUGACGCUGAGGAGCGAAAGCGUGGGGAGCAAACAGGAUUAGAUACCCUGGUAGUCCACGCCGUAAACGGUGGGCGCUAGAUGUGGGGACCAUUCCAUGGUUUCUGCGUCGCNGCUACGCAUAGCCGCCCGCCGUGGGAGGUACGUCGCAGACUAACUACGAAGAAGUAGACGGCGUGAGACGUCGCCGACGGACGACGACGAGGGAGGAGG
rnacentral:rRNA from 1 species